rnacentral:rRNA from 1 species
GGCUCAGAACGAACGCUGGCGGCGCGUUUUAAGCAUGCAAGUCGGACGGCAAGCACUGUAGCAAUAUGGUGCCUAGAGUGGCGAACGGGUGAGUAACACGUAGGUGAUCUGCCUCUGGAUGGGGGAUAGCCCGUGGAAACACGGGGUAAUACCGCAUGAGGCCUUGAGGGUAAAGCCUUGAGGUGAAAGGUGCAAUUGCACCGUCUGGGGAUGAGCCUGCGCUCCAUUAGUUAGUUGGCGGGGUAAGAGCCCACCAAGACGACGAUGGAUAGCCGGCCUGAGAGGGUGUACGGCCACACUGGAACUGAGACACGGUCCAGACUCCUACGGGAGGCAGCAGCUAAGAAUCUUCCGCAAUGGGGGAAACCCUGACGGAGCGACGCCGCGUGGAUGAUGAAGGCCGUAAGGUUGUAAAAUCCUUUUGUCGGUGAAGAAUAAGGGGAGGAGUGGAAAGCCUCUCUGAUGACGUUAGCCGGCGAAUAAGCCCCGGCCAAUUACGUGCCAGCAGCCGCGGUAAUACGUAUGGGGCAAGCGUUGUUCGGAGUUAUUGGGCGUAAAGGGCGUGUAGGCGGCUCAUCAAGUCUGGUGUGAAAUCGCAAGGCUCAACCUUGCAUAUGCGCUGGAAACUGGUGGGCUUGAGUUCUUGAGGGGAAGCUGGAAUUCCAGGUGUAGGGGUGAAAUCUGUAGAUAUCUGGAAGAACACCGGUGGCGAAGGCGAGCUUCUAUCAGAGGACUGACGCUGAGGCGCGAAAGCGUGGGGAGCAAACAGGAUUAGAUACCCUGGUAGUCCACGCUGUAAACGAUGUGCACUAGGCGUGGGGCACGUACGUGCUCUGUGCCGUAGUUAACGUGAUAAGUGCACCGCCUGGGGAGUAUGCUCGCAAGGGUGAAAC